rnacentral:lncRNA from 1 species
GGGAGCGGCGGGCGGCACCUGUGCGGGAGGAGCGCCGCACUGCUCUCUGUGCGGGAGGGCGAGUCGUGGAGCCACGGAGCCCGGAUUGCUCCGCUGCAACGCCGCCGCGAAACGUUUAAUGGGAAAUCUCGCAGUUGUGUUAUUUGCUUUUUGUUAGGAGUUAACGCCCGCCGUAACCUGCACGUUACGUUUAAUCUCUUGGUUAAAUAAGGCAGUAAAAAUGUAACACUGCUGUGGUGUCCGGAAUUUACAGCACAGAACAGCCCGCGUGGGUCAGGCACGGCGGGCAGAGCGGGCGGCGCUGGGAACACGAGUGGAGCUUUGGCAGCAGAGCCGAAAGCGGCAUCCCUUCGUGUGCUGCCAGACCCGGGCAGCCGAUGAGGCCGAUCCCUGGGACAGCCGUCACGGCCCGAGGUCCCGCACGUGUCCCCUCCAUGCCGCCCCCAGGAGAGGGAGUGAGAUAUCCACUGCAGAAAGCACUGAUUUUGACGGACGUACGGGAAGGGGGGAGGGGCGGGCACCUUCCCGCAGGCAGCUCUGCGGCCGUACCCUCCAUCCCUGAGCCCUGGGCAGCUCCUCCCGACAGCCUCCAGCAGUGGCCAUAGGUCAGAUGCCCUUCAGCUGCUCCCUUUUACAACCGAUAUCCUUCACAUGUUUUGCAGGAGGAUAAUCGCAGCCUGACUUCUAUCCAUUCUGUUAUUUGUCCGUGCUAUUUAAACGCUCCUUCCCCACCCAGCGCAUUCACAGGGCACAUCCUGUCCUCCUCGGGUUGCCGGAUGCCCCGGGGCGGUCUGUGCGGCACUUGUUGUGGAGAGCAUGACUGCAUUAAACUACUACAAGGGCCAUAAAAAGCUGAGGGGGAGUUCAGGCAUCAAAUGUGUUUCCUGGAAGCCCGAGAACUGAAGUAAUCCACUGAGUGGCCUCCUGGCACUGAUACAAGAAAGGAGGGAAUUUCAUGUACAGCACUGACCUUUACGGAUCAAAUAUU